AAAGCAAGUCUUUGUUAGGAUCAAUAAGAUCGUAUGUAACUGACAGAGAAUAACCAGUAAUUCAGUAAGAGAAAAUCUUUGAUUAAUAAUAAUUUUUAUGUAAACCGAUAUUCCUCAAUUGAGUAUUUCAAGCUUUUCACGAUGAACAAGUGGAUCAUCUUAGCAGUAAUGUUAAUCACAGUAGUCUUGACUACAGCUCAGGAUGCCGACAAAGAUGACGCUGAGGAAGGAGAUCGAGGCCACUGUUUGUUCUACAUGCAACCAUGUCGUUGUUGUCGUGGUCUUACCUGUCGCAGAGGGAGAUGUGUACGUAUAAACGGAUAAUAUAUUAUGAAAGAGAUGAAUUUCUUCAGGUAAAGCGAGGAAAACACAUAUU